AGAGCGAACGCUGGCGGCAGGCUUAACACAUGCAAGUCGAGCGGGCGUAGCAAUACGUCAGCGGCAGACGGGUGAGUAACGCGUGGGAACAUACCUUUUGGUUCGGAACAACACAGGGAAACUUGUGCUAAUACCGGAUAAGCCCUUACGGGGAAAGAUUUAUCGCCGAAAGAUUGGCCCGCGUCUGAUUAGCUAGUUGGUGAGGUAAUGGCUCACCAAGGCGACGAUCAGUAGCUGGUCUGAGAGGAUGAUCAGCCACAUUGGGACUGAGACACGGCCCAAACUCCUACGGGAGGCAGCAGUGGGGAAUAUUGGACAAUGGGCGCAAGCCUGAUCCAGCCAUGCCGCGUGAGUGAUGAAGGCCCUAGGGUUGUAAAGCUUCUUUUGUGCGGGAAGAUAAUGACGGUACCGCAAGAAUAAGCCCCGGCUAACUUCGCGCCAGCAGCCGC
rnacentral:rRNA from 1 species